rnacentral:rRNA from 1 species
GUAAGGAAUAUUGGUCAAUGGAGGCAACUCUGAACCAGCCAUGCCGCGUGCAGGAAGACUGCCCUAUGGGUUGUAAACUGCUUUUAUCCGGGAAUAAACCUGAGUACGUGUACUCAGCUGAAUGUACCGGAAGAAUAAGGAUCGGCUAACUCCGUGCCAGCAGCCGCGGUAAUACGGAGGAUCCAAGCGUUAUCCGGAUUUAUUGGGUUUAAAGGGUGCGUAGGCGGCCUGUUAAGUCAGAGGUGAAAGACGGUAGCUCAACUAUCGCAGUGCCUUUGAUACUGAUGGGCUUGAAUAAACUAGAGGUAGGCGGAAUGAGACAAGUAGCGGUGAAAUGCAUAGAUAUGUCUCAGAACACCGAUUGCGAAGGCAGCUUACUAUGGUUUUAUUGACGCUGAGGCACGAAAGCGUGGGGAUCAAACAGGAUUAGAAACCCCGGUAGUCC